AGAGUUUGAUCCUGGCUCAGGAUGAACGCUGGCGGCGUGCCUAAUACAUGCAAGUCGAACGCUUUGUGGUUCAACUGAUUUGAAGAGCUUGCUCAGAUAUGACGAUGGACAUUGCAAAGAGUGGCGAACGGGUGAGUAACACGUGGGAAACCUACCUCUUAGCAGAGGAUAACAUUUGGAAACAGAUGCUAAUACCGUAUAACAAUGACAACCGCAUGAUUGUUAUUUAAAAGAUGGUUCUGCUAUCACUAAGAGAUGGUCCCGCGGUGCAUUAGCUAGUUGGUAAGGUAAUGGCUUACCAAGGCGAUGAUGCAUAGCCGAGUUGAGAGACUGAUCGGCCACAAUGGGACUGAGACACGGCCCAUACUCCUACGGGAGGCAGCAGUAGGGAAUCUUCCACAAUAGGCGAAAGCCUGAUGGAGCAACGCCGCGUGUGUGACGAAGGGUUUCGGCUCGUAAAACACUGUUGUAAGAGAAGAAUGACAUUGAGAGUAACUGUUCAAUGUGUGACGGUAUCUUACCAGAAAGGAACGGCUAAAUACGUGCCAGCAGCCGCGGUAAUAAGGGCGAAUUC
rnacentral:rRNA from 1 species